CGGCCGCGUCGACUGAGUAACGCGUAGGUAACCUGCCUGGUAGCGGGGGAUAACUAUUGGAAACGAUAGCUAAUACCGCAUAAGAGUAGAUGUUGCAUGACAUUUGCUUAAAAGGUGCAAUUGCAUCACUACCAGAUGGACCUGCGUUGUAUUAGCUAGUUGGUGGGGUAACGGCUCACCAAGGCGACGAUACAUAGCCGACCUGAGAGGGUGAUCGGCCACACUGGGACUGAGACACGGCCCAGACUCCUACGGGAGGCAGCGUCGACGCGGCGUGAGGGAAGAAGAUUUUCGGAUU
rnacentral:rRNA from 1 species